CUUCACCGAACCCAGCCGCAACGGCUGCUCGACGUCGCGGCCCUGCCCGUAGACGGCGAGCAGUGCCUGUGCCUC
rnacentral:antisense_RNA from 1 species